UGGCUCAUUAAAUCAGUUAUCGUUUAUUUGAUAGUACCUUACUACUUGGAUAACCGUGGUAAUUCUAGAGCUAAUACAUGCUAAAAACCCCGACUUCGGGAGGGGUGUAUUUAUUAGAUAAAAAACCAACGCCCUUCGGGGCUCCUUGGUGAAUCAUAAUAACUUAACGGAUCGCAUGGCCUUGCGCCGGCGACGGUUCAUUCAAAUUUCUGCCCUAUCAACUUUCGAUUGUAGGGUAUUGGCCUACAAUGGUAUCAACGGGUAACGGGGAAUUAGGGUUCGAUUCCGGAGAGGGAGCCUGAGAAACGGCUACCACAUCCAAGGAAGGCAGCAGGCGCGCAAAUUACCCAAUCCCGACACGGGGAGGUAGUGACAAUAAAUACUGAUACAGGGCUCUUUUGGGUCUUGUAAUUGGAAUGAGUACAAUUUAAAUCCCUUAACGAGGAACAAUUGGAGGGCAAGUCUGGUGCCAGCAGCCGCGGUAAUUCCAGCUCCAAUAGCGUAUAUUAAAGUUGUUGCAGUUAAAAAGCUCGUAGUUGAACCUUGGGCCUGGCUGGCCGGUCCGCCUCACCGCGUGCACUGGUCCGGCCGGGCCUUUCCUUCUGGAGAGCCGCAUGCCCUUCACUGGGCGUGUCGGGGAACCAGGACUUUUACUUUGAAAAAAUUAGAGUGUUCAAAGCAGGCCUUUGCUCGAAUACAUUAGCAUGGAAUAAUAGAAUAGGACGUGCGGUCCUAUUUUGUUGGUUUCUAGGACCGCCGUAAUGAUUAAUAGGGAUAGUCGGGGGCAUCAGUAUUCAAUUGUCAGAGGUGAAAUUCUUGGAUUUAUUGAAGACUAACUACUGCGAAAGCAUUUGCCAAGGAUGUUUUCAUUAAUCAGUGAACGAAAGUUAGGGGAUCGAAGACGAUCAGAUACCGUCGUAGUCUUAACCGUAAACUAUGCCGACUAGGGAUCGGGCGAUGUUAUUAUUUUGACUCGCUCGGCACCUUACGAGAAAUC
rnacentral:rRNA from 1 species